rnacentral:rRNA from 1 species
CCUACGGGUGGCAGCAGUGGGGAAUAUUGCACAAUGGGCGGAACCCUGAUGCAGCGACGCCGCGUGGGUGAAGGAGUACUUCGGUACGUAAAGCCCUAUCAGCAGGAAAGAAAAUGACGGUACGUAACUAAGCAGCCCUGGCUAAGUACGUGCCAGCAGCCGCGGUAAUACGUAGGGGGCAAGCGUUAUCCGGAUUUACCGGGUGUAACGGGAGCGUAGGCGGCAGUGCAAGUCGGGAGUGAAGGCCCGGGGCUCAACCUUGGGGGUGCACUGGAGACUGGAAAGCUUGAGUGCGGGAGAGGCAGGUGGAAUUCCAGGUGUAGCGGUGAAAUGCGUAGAGAUCAGGAGGAACACCAGCGGCGAAGGCGGCCUUCUGGACCGUAACUGACGCUGAGGUUCGAAAGCGUGGGGAGCAAACAGGAUUAGAUACCCGAGUAGUC